rnacentral:rRNA from 1 species
GCAGCCGCGGUAAUACGUAGGGGGCAAGCGUUAUCCGGAUUUACUGGGUGUAAAGGGAGCGCAGACGGCAUGGCAAGUCUGAAGUGAAAACCCGGGGCUCAACCCCGUGAUUGCUUUGGAAACUGUCAGGCUAGAGUACCGGAGGGGUAAGCGGAAUUCCUAGUGUAGCGGUGAAAUGCGUAGAUAUUAGGAGGAACACCGGUGGCGAAGGCGGCUUACUGGACGGUAACUGACGUUGAGGCUCGAAAGCGUGGGGAGCAAACAGGAUUAGAUACCCC